rnacentral:lncRNA from 1 species
GUCUCUAUUUCACCGGUCAGAUUCUGUUUUGCAAAAGGUCACAACCAUGUCAGACAAAAGUGAAUUAAAAGCUGAGUUGGAACGUAAGAAGCAACGGUUGGCCCAAAUCAGAGAAGAAAAGAAGAGGAAAGAAGAGGAAAGGAAAAAAAAAGAAACUGAUCAGAAGAAGGAAGCUGCAGUCUCUGUGCAGGAAGAGUCUGACCUUGAAAAGAAGAGAAGAGAAGCCGAAGCCUUGCUUCAGAGCAUGGGGCUAACUACAGACUCCCCAAUUGUUUUUUCUGAGCACUGGGUCCCUCCUCCCAUGUCUCCAUCCUCCAAGUCGGUGAGCACGCCAAGUGAAGCUGGAAGCCAGGACUCUGGAGAUGGCGCCGUGGGAUCUAGGACGCUGCACUGGGAUACAGAUCCAUCAGCUCUUCAGCUCCACUCAGAUUCCGAUUUGGGACGAGGACCUAUUAAACUUGGAAUGGCCAAAAUUACUCAAGUCGACUUUCCCCCUCGAGAAA